rnacentral:rRNA from 2 species
UAGGGAAUCUUCGGCAAUGGACGAAAGUCUGACCGAGCAACGCCGCGUGAGUGAAGAAGGUUUUCGGAUCGUAAAACUCUGUUGUUAGAGAAGAACAAGGACGUUAGUAACUGAACGUCCCCUGACGGUAUCUAACCAGAAAGCCACGGCUAACUACGUGCCAGCAGCCGCGGUAAUACGUAGGUGGCAAGCGUUGUCCGGAUUGAUUGGGCGUAAAGCGAGCGCAGGCGGUUUCUUAAGUCUGAUGUGAAAGCCCCCGGCUCAACCGGGGAGGGUCAUUGGAAACUGGGAGACUUGAGUGCAGAAGAGGAGAGUGGAAUUCCAUGUGUAGCGGUGAAAUGCGUAGAUAUAUGGAGGAACACCAGUGGCGAAGGCGGCUCUCUGGUCUGUAACUGACGCUGAGGCUCGAAAGCGUGGGGAGCAAACAGG